rnacentral:rRNA from 1 species
GACGAACGCUGGCGGCGUGCUUAACACAUGCAAGUCGAACGAAGAGCGAUGGAAGCUUGCUUCUAUCAAUCUUAGUGGCGAACGGGUGAGUAACGCGUAAUCAACCUGCCCUUCAGAGGGGGACAACAGUUGGAAACGACUGCUAAUACCGCAUACGAUCCAAUCUCGGCAUCGAGGAUGGAUGAAAGGUGGCCUCUAUUUAUAAGCUAUCACUGAAGGAGGGGAUUGCGUCUGAUUAGCUAGUUGGAGGGGUAACGGCCCACCAAGGCGAUGAUCAGUAGCCGGUCUGAGAGGAUGAACGGCCACAUUGGGACUGAGACACGGCCCAGACUCCUACGGGAGGCAGCAGUGGGGAAUCUUCCGCAAUGGACGAAAGUCUGACGGAGCAACGCCCGCGUGAGUGAUGACGGCCCUUUCGGGGUUGUAAAAGCUCUGUUAAAUUCGG